rnacentral:rRNA from 1 species
UGGGGAAUCUUGCGCAAUGGGGGGAACCCUGACGCAGCGACGCCGCGUGCGGGACGGAGGCCUUCGGGUCGUAAACCGCUUUCAGCAGGGAAGAGUCAAGACUGUACCUGCAGAAGAAGCCCCGGCUAACUACGUGCCAGCAGCCGCGGUAAUACGUAGGGGGCGAGCGUUAUCCGGAUUCAUUGGGCGUAAAGCGCGCGUAGGCGGCCCGGCAGGCCGGGGGUCGAAGCGGGGGGCUCAACCCCCCGAAGCCCCCGGAACCUCCGCGGCUUGGGUCCGGUAGGGGAGGGUGGAACACCCGGUGUAGCGGUGGAAUGCGCAGAUAUCGGGUGGAACACCGGUGGCGAAGGCGGCCCUCUGGGCCGAGACCGACGCUGAGGCGCGAAAGCUGGGGGAGCGAACAG